GUGCAGAUUCGGUCACUAAUUCUGCAUGAAGUAGCAGAAGUGAAGGGAACCAGGUUUGUGGAAGUAAUCAUGGUGAUAGAAAUAUAUCAGCCUCAGAAGCCACUGAGGUGGUCUGAUCUAUGCUAAAGUACAU